UACGUAGGGUGCAAGCGUUGUCCGGAAUUAUUGGGCGUAAAGGGCGCGUAGGCGGCAUCGCAAGUGGAAGGUGAAAUCCCUCGGCUUAACCGAGGAACUGCCCCUCCAAACUGCGUUGCUUUGAGGCCGGGAGAGGGUGAGUGGAAUUUCCCCAGUGUAGCGGUGAAAAUGCGUAGAUAUUGGGAGGAACACCAGUGGCGAAGGCGGCUCACUGGACCGGUUCUGACGCUGAGGCGCGAAAAGCGUGGGGGAGCAAAACGGGG
rnacentral:rRNA from 1 species